rnacentral:misc_RNA from 1 species
GGAAACUUGUGCUUGUUGCCUCACCUGCAAAGAAUAUGUUAUCAAUGGGGAUUCUCAACUUCUCAUACAAAUCAUGGGGCUUCCCAACUAUGUCAUAACUGUACGAUCCAAGUGUGUCAACAUCUGUACCCCAUCGGGAAACAAGGAAAUUGAUCGGGUCAGAGGCAUCCGGAAGAAUUUUCUUGAGUUGUGUAAAAGCAAAAUUAGCAGCUGCUUCAUCGGACAGUUUCUCUA